rnacentral:rRNA from 1 species
GACGAACGCUGGCGGCGUGCUUAACACAUGCAAGUCGAACGGAAAGGCCCUGCUUUUGUGGGGUGCUCGAGUGGCGAACGGGUGAGUAACACGUGAGUAACCUGCCCUUGACUUUGGGAUAACUUCAGGAAACUGGGGCUAAUACCGGAUAGGAGCUCCUGCUGCAUGGUGGGGGUUGGAAAGUUUCGGCGGUUGGGGAUGGACUCGCGGCUUAUCAGCUUGUUGGUGGGGUAGUGGCUUACCAAGGCUUUGACGGGUAGCCGGCCUGAGAGGGUGACCGGCCACAUUGGGACUGAGAUACGGCCCAGACUCCUACGGGAGGCAGCAGUGGGGAAUAUUGCACAAUGGGCGGAAGCCUGAUGCAGCAACGCCGCGUGCGGGAUGACGGCCUUCGGGUUGUAAACCGCUUUCGCCUGUGACGAAGCGUGAGUGACGGUAAUGGGUAAAGAAGCACCGGCUAACUACGUGCCAGCAGCCGCGGUGAUACGUAGGGUGCGAGCGUUGUCCGGAUUUAUUGGGCGUAAAGGGCUCGUAGGUGGUUGAUCGCGUCGGAAGUGUAAUCUUGGGGCUUAACCCUGAGCGUGCUUUCGAUACGGGUUGACUUGAGGAAGGUAGGGGAGAAUGGAAUUCCUGGUGGAGCGGUGGAAUGCGCAGAUAUCAGGAGGAACACCAGUGGCGAAGGCGGUUCUCUGGGCCUUUCCUGACGCUGAGGAGCGAAAGCGUGGGGAGCGAACGGGCUUAGAUACCCUGGUAGUCCACGCUGUAAACGGUGGGUACUAGGUGUGGGGUCCAUUCCACGGGUUCCGUGCCGUAGCUAACGCUUUAAGUACCCCGCCUGGGGAGUACGGCCGCAAGGCUAAAACUCAAAGGAAUUGACGGGGCCCCGCACAAGCGGCGGAGCAUGCGGAUUAAUUCGAUGCAACGCGUAGAACCUUACCUGGGUUUGACAUGGAUCGGGAGUGCUCAGAGAUGGGUGUGCCUCUUUUGGGGUCGGUUCACAGGUGGUGCAUGGCUGUCGUCAGCUCGUGUCGUGAGAUGUUGGGUUAAGUCCCGCAACGAGCGCAACCCUUGUUCACUGUUGCCAGCACGUUAUGGUGGGGACUCAGUGGAGACCGCCGGGGUCAACUCGGAGGAAGGUGGGGAUGACGUCAAGUCAUCAUGCCCCUUAUGUCCAGGGCCUCACGCAUGCUACAAUGGCUGGUACAGAGAGUGGCGAGCCUGUGAGGGUGAGCGAAUCUCGGAAAGCCGGUCUCAGUUCGGAUUGGGGUCUGCAACUCGACCUCAUGAAGUCGGAGUCGCUAGUAAUCGCAGAUCAGCAACGCUGCGGUGAAUACGUUCCCGGG